CCUACGGGAGGCAGCAGUGGGGAAUAUUGCGCAAUGGGCGAAAGCCUGACGCAGCGACGCCGCGUGAGGGAUGAAGGUCUUCGGAUCGGAAACCUCUGUCAGCAGGGAAGAACGGUCACGGUGCUAAGCAGCAGUGAAUUGACGGUACCUGCAAAGGAAGCACAGGCUAACUCCGUGCCAGCAGCCGCGGUAAUACGGAGGGUGCGAGCGUUAAUCGGAAUUACUGGACGGAAAGCGCUCGUAGGCGGUAUGUCAAGUCAAGGGUGAAAUACCCGCGCUCAACGUGGGAACUGCCUUUGAAACUGGCACCCUGGAGUUUGUGAGAGGAUAGUGGCAUUCCCGGUGUAGUCGU
rnacentral:rRNA from 1 species